rnacentral:lncRNA from 1 species
AUGGGGGGCCCUGGAGACCCACUGCUCCCCACGCAGCCGUUCGGGUUCACGGCGACCCCGCCCUUCAAAGCCAAGGUGCCGGGUGAUCCUCUGGCCGCGGAGCCCGGAGGAGACUCGGCCACCGCGCUCGGCCGCGCGCCCUGCAGCCACGGUGCUCGCCCCCGCGCGCCCCCCACGCGCGCCGUCGGCCUCGGGAGGCCGCCCACUCGGACGCGCGUGGGGAGCGCGCGGGCAUCGGCGGCUGCGCGGCGGCCCCUCCUCGGGAGGUAUAGCGGAGCGGCUGCCGGGAGGAUGCCUCGGUGCGGGGCGCGUCGCCCCUCUCAGGCCACCAGAGCCCGGAGACCUCAGAAAUUCGGCUCUGGGUCUGUGGGGAGCGAAAUGCAACCCAAAGCCCGUUUCCCCCCGCAGCCCCGCGCAGAUAAACACGCACAAGCACGCACACAGACGUCGCCGCGGCCGGCACUCGCAGCCGCAGGUUCCGGCGGCGUCAGGGAAGAGCCCGGGGACCAGACGGGGUCGCUGCCUUCGCCUGGCAGCGCCGGGCGCGGCCGCUCGCCCUCGCCGCUCGCAGGUGCGACGGAAGUGCCGGGCGUCACCGGCCCGGAGCAACGGCGCAACGGCCGGUCUGGGCCUGCAGCCUCGGCGGCCCGGGCGGGGCGGGAGCGGCCGGCCCGACACAGCUGCCUCAACUCCCCGCCCCGCCGCAGGACGCCUCCCGCCGCGUGCUGCUGCAUAACCCUCAGCUGCAGCUCCCCCACCCCGGCCUGCGUUCCUCGUUAGCCGACCCCGCCGAUCCCAGUGGGGAGAAGAGGGAAAAGAGGGACAGUAGAGAAGCGGGGGCUCGGUGUGGGCCUCUGAGAGCGUGGGGCAGGCCUGGGUCUCGCGUGACAUCCCACGCCUGGAGCCUGACAGUGUCCGCCAGCAAGGUAGAGGAAGCUCGCUGCGGCUCAGGCUAGCCCAAGAGCAUUCUAAGUGCACACCCCUCCCCCAAAUCUCGAGUGGAUCUUGAAAAAAAAUAGAGACCUCAGUCGUCACUUCAGGAUGCCAUUUCGGUGGAUCUGGGAAGAGACCCGGAAAUCUGCAUUUCUGGGGUUGACUGCUUUCUUCCUCCACGAUUUAGUGCAAAGGGUUGGAGGGGGCACACUCUGCCUGCCAGCGCCAAACAGGAGUUACUCCUGGCUUGUCCCCUUGUGACGGGUCUAACGUUGCGCAAGGCUAGCGUUCCACUUCGCCAAAUACAAAUAAGCGUGGGAAUGAAGGGAGUUUUAAAAAAUAUAUUGUACCGUCAAAACCCCUAGUUCAUGCAAAACAUUAAAAAUUCACAAUCGUCGGUAAAUGUCCAGGAAAGAGUACACAACCCUGUUUAUCGUGUAUCUGACACCUGAAAUUCUCCCCACAAGCCAGUAGUAACAAUGGCUACUUGAAAAUGUUUACAAAUCUUUUGAAAUGCAGAAGCUAGCACUUUCUGUACAUAGGUUAGUAUUCCUGACCAUAGGUAAUGGUAUAAAAAGACAUUUUGCAGUUAUAUUACACCUAUCCCAGUGAAUACAGGUGGAGCUGCCUUGUGCUGUUGCGUCCUAUUAAUAAUAGCCCCUAAUACUAAGACAUUGAGGCGCCCAUUAUUUUCCAUUAGGAUGCUUCAGGGAACACACUGUUCUCUUUGCACAGUUGUAUCUUUUAGAUCCCUAGGAAGUUGUGUUGCUGGCUCGAAGGUUUGUUCCAGCAUUCCUAAUCUGUACCUUCUUUGAUAAGGUUUGGCAGAUUCCCUUCAUAGGCUCUGUUCUCCCCAGCAGUGUGUGAGAAUGCCAGUUUCCCCAAAACCCAUUACCAAACUAAUUGUAGUUUUAAACUCACAGUUUUUAUUAUGCAUGAGCACUUUCCCAUACAUUAGGUAACUUAUAUUUCCUUUUCUGUGACUUAUCUGUCCUGGUAGUGAGCUCAUUUUUCUAUUGUAUCACUCACAUCUCCUUAGGGUGGCUAUAAUAAUAAUUUUUUAUUAGUUUGUAGUCUCUUACCUAUGAAAAACAGCCUUAUGUUUGCAAUAAAUGGUAUUUUCCAGGCUACUUGUGCUGGUUU